rnacentral:rRNA from 1 species
GAUGAACGCUAGCGGCAGGCUUAAUACAUGCAAGUCGAGGGGCAGCGCAGUGUAGCAAUACAUGGGCGGCGACCGGCAAACGGGUGCGGAACACGUACAGAACCUUCCUUCAAGCGGGGCAUAGCCCGGCGAAAGCCGGAUUAAUACCCCAUAGCAAGAUUGGGUGGCAUCACUUGAUUUUUAAAGAUUUAUCACUUGAAGAUGGCUGUGCGGCUGAUUAGGUAGUUGGCGGGGUAACGGCCCACCAAGCCUGCGAUCAGUAACUGGUGUGAGAGCACGACCAGUCACACGGGCACUGAGACACGGGCCCGACUCCUACGGGAGGCAGCAGUAAGGAAUAUUGGUCAAUGGACGCAAGUCUGAACCAGCCAUGCCGCGUGGUGGAUGAAGGCCCUCUGGGUUGUAAACUUCUUUUAUAUGGGACGAAAAUGGGUCUUUCUAGAUCAACUGACGGUACCAUUUGAAUAAGCACCGGCUAACUCCGUGCCAGCAGCCGCCGUAAGAC